GCCCCGCCCCCAGACUUCGCGCUCCGGCGCGGGCCGGGCGCUGGGCGCCGUCCCUCAGGGAGGGUCCCGCCGCCUGAGGCGCUCUUGUUCACUGAGACACUGCUGUACAUUAGUGCAUAAAAAUACAUGAAUUCCUUUUCCUGGAGUUGACACCCUGGACGUUAGUAAGGGAGUUAGUGAGAGAAAGAGAGAGAAAGGUCUUCCUUCUGUUGGUUCAACCCCCACAUGGCUGCUACGGCCGGAAGCUACACCGAUCUGAAGCCAGGAGCCAGGUGCUUCCUCCUGCUCUCCCAUGUGGGUGCAGGGGCCCAAGCACUCGGGCCAUCCUCCACUACCCUUCCACAGCAGAGAGCUGGACUGGAAGAGGAGCAACCGGGACUAGAACUCCGCGCCUAUAUAGGAUGCUGGCGCUGCAGGCGGAGGAUUAACCAAGUGAGCCCUGGCGCCGGCCCCCCACUGAGCUAUUGUUUGGCAUUGCAUUUGAUAGGAAAAUGUGCAAGAUAUUUUCAUGAGUAUUUAUUUAUUUAUUUAUUUUACAGGCAGAGUGGACAGUGAAAGAGAGAGAGACAGAGAGAAAGGUCUUUCCUUUUGCUGUUGGUUCACCCUCCAAUGGCCGCCGCGGCCGGCAUGCUGCGGCCGACGCAUUGCGCUGAUCCGAAGCCAGGAGCCAGGUGCUUCUCCUGGUCUCCCAUGUGGGUGCAGGGCCCAAGCACUUGGGCCAUCCUCCACUGCACUGCUGGGCCACAGCAGAGAGCUGGCCUGGAAGAGGGGCAACCGGGACAGAAUCCGGUGCCCCGACCGGGACUAGAACCUGGUGUGCCGGCACCGCUAGGUGGAGGAUUAGCCUAUUGAGCCACGGCGGUGCCGGCCAUGAGUAUUUAUCUUAUGGCAUACUGAAGCUUCUUUUGUGUCAUCACGUAAAGUACAGUUUAUGCUGGAGAUGAGAUGUAUAUCUAAUUCUGAAGGAUCUUAGAACAGACCCUAAAGCUUCUCUUUAAUGAGAUCCAUGAGCUUCAGAUCAGUGUUGAAUCAUGAGCUCCUUUGGGGAAUAUGAAGAGAAUAAUCGUGGGGGCCAAGAGGUUUGUAUAGCUGUCAUGUUGGACUCUGCAUUUUGUAAAAAGUAAAAUAAUCAAUUAAAAUGUUUAGCUUGUUUCAUGUAGAUUAAAGAGUGUCAGGAAAGGGGUGUGUGUGUGUGUGCAUGUGUGAAAUCACUGGCCAGCCCCUCUAACCUCUAGGAGAAUCUUCUUCCAGUUCUGAAAGAGUUCAGGUUUUAUAUUUCACUUCAACAAGGGAGGUGAAAUUCCAUUCUCGUAACAUAGAGCCUCAUCUAGUUAUAUAAUAGGUUACAUUAGUUUUCACAUCUUAGAGAAUGCUUACAUAUCUUCAAGUGUUUUUGUUCUGUUUCCUUCACAUAUUGUAACCUCUUUUGUGUGAAAAGAUUUAUAAUCUAAAUCUUUUGUAUUCUUGAAUGUGACACACACUGUGAACUGCAGGGAUUCAGUAAAUCCUGAUAACUAACCAGUUUCAACUAGUAGAUAAGAUAGGCCUUUAAAACUUACAAAAUAAGAAUGUCAGCAAUUAGCAGCAGGAGCAAUCUAAAGCUCUUAAGGAAUCUAUUUAGGAAAGGAUGUGUAAACAUUUCAGUUGUCUUGGUAGCAUUCUCCCAUGAGUUCUACUUUUUAAUGGCAACAAUAGACGUAAUUGAAGCACUUGGGCUACUGUCAUCAUCAAGUCUAGUAAGCGCAUGAUUGUAUAGUACACACUUUCUUUUAUACCUCCCUAAUGAAUCAUAUGCAGAUAUCUAUUUUGUUUUGCAAUAUCUUUUCAUUAUUAAUUCAAAUGCCUCUUUUUCUGCGCAGUCUAGUGUGGUAUAAAGCAGAGGAGGGAGGCCAGGUCUUUGGGGUGUCAAGAUUUUUCUUUCUCCUUGGCUCAUUUGGUCCAUUCUUUGGCUUCCAUCUCUUGAAUGCAUACCUGCUUCUCAAUGAGCAUUUAAUAGUAACCAUGAGAUCCAUAGUCUCUGAGAUAUGCAGGGACUCCAGGCUGCAGAUGAAGGAAGAAGCAAACAAACCAAAAUAGAUCUGCGUUGGUUAAUGAAGAUCACAGAUGGAAAAACUUUUUUUUUUCUCCUGUGGACAUGCUGGGAUUUUAGAAUUGAUGCUAUUAAUCAAUCUGUCCUAAAGUAGAAACAGUUGCAAAUAUGUAAUAUAGAGUAUCAGUGGAAUAGAAAACAAACCUUUAACUAUGCCUAAUUUUUUUUGAAGUUGGAAAAUGUUGCCAGCCUGUUUUUGAUGUAAUUGAAAAUGUUUAGAAGCUUUCCUGAAGAGUUGAUUAAUAUAUCAAAAUCAAAAAAGGCAAUUUUGAGUCUAAUUUUGUUUGUUUACUAUGUAAUACAAGAUUCUUGGCUUUGAAAUUCUGCCAUGCAGGGUGAAAAAUGACUGUCAGUGUGAAACAAAGUAGUCUACUGAAAAGAACAUUGUGUCUAAUAGGAAACAGCUGAUAGCCCCGUAAAUGAUAUCUGGAAUUACAUUAUCUUAAUCAUUCUGAUUAGUUCCUAGUGGGCAGAGUAGUGAGUCGAGAUUUGGCUAAGAUUUGCCUCUCUUACUCCUUGGUUCAAGAACCUCAAAGUGGGGAAUUGCUGGGGAGGCAUUCUGGUCCAAGCUGGAGGAGCAAGGAGAGUUUGGGUCUCAAAGAGCUAAGACCAGAGUAGCCCCAUGUGUGCACAGCAGUGGAGGGGUUGUCUUCCGGGGGGGUUGACAUACCUGCUAUGGGAGGAUGUGGCACUCUUGGUAAUGUUACCAGAAGAUUUUCCAAUGGCUUUCUGAUUUUAUAAAUAUCAAAGAGCUGAAAUAGGUAAUUAUGUUUUGGCUCCCAGUUUUUGGAGGAAGAGUUCAAGAAAACUUGCUUUGCAAGAAAAAAAUGCAGUGAACUCUUAGCAGAAGUUUCCACCUCUUUCGUUGAAACACGAGUACUGAAAAAGAGAUAGCUGCUUGCCCUAGAGCAAUUUUACAUCUUCAUUUUUCCAGGAAAGUGCCAGUUUUAUAUAUUUCACCUGUUAUUGCAAUGGGUGACAUUUCUCUGAAGCUACAAUAUUUUGGUGGUUAUACCUGUGUUUCAAAACCAGGUGCAUGACAAAAGUCUUACAGGAUUACAGGUGUUAGUUUGGGGUUCAGAAAAUAAGGCCACCAUAUGUGGAAAGAAGUUUGACUGAAAGAAAUACGUCAAAUCAGCUAAUUUCCCUAGAUGGCUUCUAAAGCAUCCAGGACAUGUUGUCAGGCAGCCUCUGCUUGUGUCUCUCCUGACGCAUGGGGAGUUCUUAUUCAGAAGGCAUCUAAUUGUUGGUAAGCUCUGCGUCUUUAGCUAAGCCUGUAUCCCAUGGCCUCACUUGUCAGGAACAAUGGAGAAUAAUGAAGAUGGAUGUUUUAUCCCCUCUGAAUCUUUUUCUCUUACAGGUCAAAGUUCACCAAACCUUUUUUUUUUUAAAGAUUUUAUUUAUUUAUUUAUUUAUAUGAGAGGUAGAGUUACAGACAGUGAGAGACAGAGAGAAAGGUCUUGCAUCCACUGGUUCCCUCCCCAAAUUUACUGCAAUGGCCGGAGCUGAGCCUAUCCAAAGCCAGGAGCCAGGAACUUCUUCCAGGUCUCCCACAUGGAUGCAGGGGCCCAAGGACUUGAGCCAUCUUCUACUGCUUUUCCAGGCCAUAGCAGAGAGCUGGAUCAGAAGAGGAGUAGCCGGGACUAGAACCUGUGCCCAUAGGGGAUGCUGGUGCUGCAGACAGAGGAUUAACCUACUGUGCCACAACGCUGGCCCCCACCAAACCUUUUAAUCAUUUCAUUCAUAGUAAGAUUGUCACUAUUCUAGGAGCCUUUACAUUGUAUGUAAACUUUGAUUUUCUAUAAUGAAAUUCUGUAAUCUCACUUCUGUACAAUAAAACUGGAAACUUCUCUUUAAAAAAAUCUUGAUAAUGUACUUAAAAUAUUUCAUUUCAUUUCAUAACCACAUUUUACUUAUUGUUGGUUCAAAUUAGCUUUUGGUACAUUGAUGCCACCUGGUCUGUUUCAAAUAAAUAAAUAUCUGACCUCUACUCCAACAUACAUAUACCUGUGCAUUUGAAUCUUAAAAUUGGUAUAAGGGACUUUACUUAAUAUAUAUGUUUUUUGAAUUCUAGCCUGCCAUUCACAUCUGUCAAACUCUUGUAAGACCUUGAUUGUUCAUAUAAUGUGCUGGUUUUCCUAUCAACUGUAUAUUAAAUAGGUUUCCCAUGUUUUUAUAUGUGCUAUAAUAGUACUAUAAAAACAGAUGCACCUUGCAGUGAGACAGAUCUUAUAUUUCAUUCCCAGCUUCCUCAUGAACCUGUUGUCUGACAUUUAUACUCCCUGAUCCCAGUUUGCUCAUCUCAAAGUUAAGAUGAUGAAAAGCUCUACUUUUUUUUUUAAGAUUACAUUUAUUUAUUUGAAAGGCAGAAUUAGAGAGAGAGAGAGAGAGAGAGAGUGCUUCCAUCUAUUGGUUUACCCACCAAAUGGCUGCAACAUCUAGGGCUUGGCCAGGCUGAAGGCAGAAGCCAGGAGUUUCUUCUGGGUGUCUCACAUGGGUGCAGGAGCCUAAGCACUUGGGCCAUCUCCUCCUUCCCUCCCAGGCACAUCAGCAGGGAGCUGGGUUAGAAGUGAAGUAGCUGGAAUUCGAACAGGUGCCCAUAUGGGAAGCUGGCACUAUAGAAAGUGGCUCAACCUGCUGUGCCACAGUGAUGGCCCAAAAGUUCUACUUCUUAGGAUUGUUGAGGGUCUAGUACAAUGUCAGUCACAUUGUAGGUAACAGUUAUUGUAUUAAUAAUGAAGAUACAUUUUCCCCCAAAAAAUAUUUAAUGAGUAUAAAUUUCAUAAAUACAACUUUAAGAAUAUAGUGAUUCUUCCCAUCAUACAUGCCCUCCCACCCCACCACCUCCUCCCUCUCCCAUUACCAGUCCCAUUCUCUAUUAAGAUUCAUUUUAAAUUAACUUUAUACUCAGAAGACCAACUCUAUGCUAAGUAACUUUUUCAACAGUUUGCAUUCACACACACACACACACACACACAAACACACAAACUGGGAACAAGUUUUACAGUUAAUUCUCAUAAUAGAAUUCAUUAAGGACAGAAGUUCUGCAUAGGAAGUAAGUGCACAGUGACUCCUGUUGUUAAUUAAUAGUCUUACGUAAGAUGAUCACCCAAGGCUCUUGACAUGAGCAGCCAAGGCUAUGGAAGCCUUUUGAAUCCAUAAUCUCCAUCAGUAUUUAGACAAGGCCAUAAGCAAAGUAGAAGUUCUCUCCUCCAUUCAGCAAAAAGUACAUCCUUCUUUGAUGGCCCCUUCUUUCCACUGGAGUCUUUUUCAGAGAGAUCCUUCAUGCAGGACAUCUUUUAGCUACAAUGUCUUGGCUUUCCAUGCCUAAAAUGCUCUCAUGGGCUUUUCAGCCAGACAAGAAUGCCUUAAGGGCUGAUUCUGAGGUCAGAGUGCUGUUUAAAGUGAUUGUCAUUCUGUGAGUCUGCUGUGUGGAUUGCUUCCUAUGUUGGAACAUUCUCUCCUUUUUAAUUCUAUUUAUUAUUAACUCUAUGCCAAGUACAGAUUUCAACAGUUUGCACCCCCAUACACACACAACAUAUAAAGUGCAGUUUGAGAACAAGUUUUGCAGUUAAUUCUCAUAGUUCAAUUCAUUAAGGACAGUGGUCCUACAUGGGGAGUAAGUGCAUCGUGACUUCUUUUGUUCAUUUAACAAUUUACACUCUUAUUUAUGACAUCAGUGAUCACCUGAGGUUCUUGCCAUGAGCUGCCAAGACUAUGGAAUCCUUUUGUGACCACAGACACCAUCAGAUUUUGGUACACAAUCAUAAGCAAAGUGGAAGUUCUCUCCUCCCUUCAUAGAAAAGUACAUCCUUCUUUGAUGGCCCCUUCUUUCCACUGGGAUCUCACAGAGAUCCUUCGUCUAGGAUGUUUUUUGUCCCAGAAUCUUGGUUUUCCAUGCCUGAAAUGCUCUCACAGGCCUUUCAGCCAGACCAGGAAUCCUUAAAGGUUGAUUCUGAGGGGCCAGAGCUGUGGCGUAGCAAGUAAGGCUGCUCCCUGCAGUGCUGACAUCCUAUAUGGGUGCUGGUUUGUGUCCUGGCUGAUCUACUUUUGAUCCAGCCCCACUGCUGUGGCCUGGGAAAGCAGUAGAGGAUGACUUAAGUCCUUGGGUCCCUGUACCCGUGUGGGAGAUCUGGAGGAAGCUCCUGACUCCUGGCUUCGGAUCAGCCCAGCUCCGGCUGUUGCGACCAAUUGGGGAGUGAACCAGUGGAUGGAAGACCUCUCUCUCUCUCUCCCUCUCCCUCUCCCUCCCUCUGCCUUUCCUUUUCUCUCUGUGAAACUCUGACUUUAAAAUAAAUAAAAUAAAUCUUUUUUAAAAAAGGGUUGAUUUUGAGGUCAGAGUGUUAUUUAUGGUGAAUGCCAUUUUAGGAGUCUGCUAUGUGCACUGCUUCCCAUGUUGGACAUUCCUUAUGAUCACUUUAACACUUAAAAUGGUCACUUUUAUGGCAUGGCAUUUUUUGCCAUCCAGCUUAAUGGGACUUGGGGUUCUGUGGCAAAUUUUUUUUAAACAUCUUUUUAAACAUUUUUUUAAAAAAUUUAUUUGACAGAGUUAUAGACAGUGAGAGAGAGAGGCAGAGAGAAAGGUCUUCCUUCUGUUGGUUCACUCCCCAAAUGGCCACUAUGGCUGGCACUGUGCUGAUCUGAAGCCAGGAGCCAGGUGCUUCCUCCUGGUCUCCUAUUUGGGUGCAGGGGCCCAAGCACUUGGGCCAUCCUCCACUGCCCUCCUGGGCCACAGCAAGAGCUGGACUGGAAGAGGAGCAACUGGGACUAGAACCCGGUGCCCAUAUGGGAUGCAGUGCUGCAGGUGGAGGAUUAACCAAGUGAGCCACGGCGCUGGCCCCCUUGGCAAAUUUUUAAACUGUACCUUUAGAAGAAAGUCCAUAGUAAUAUAUGCAGAAGUAUACAGCUUUGAAGAUACAAACUUCUUCCCACCUCUCUUAUUUACACUUUUAUUUUUUAGUGAGAUCUAUUUUCAAUUGACUUUAUACUUGUAUUAAUAAAUCUGUUAAGAGUUCAAUAGAUAGUAUUAAGAAGAGAAAAACCAUUCCUUGAUAGACAAGACAAUGGCUGUGCAUGUCAUUGCU